rnacentral:rRNA from 1 species
AGUGAACGCUGGCGGUAGGCCUAACACAUGCAAGUCGAACGGCAGCACAGUAAGAGCUUGCUCUUACGGGUGGCGAGUGGCGGACGGGUGAGGAAUACAUCGGAAUCUACUUUUUCGUGGGGGAUAACGUAGGGAAACUUACGCUAAUACCGCAUACGACCUACGGGUGAAAGCAGGGGAUCUUCGGACCUUGCGCGAUUGAAUGAGCCGAUGUCGGAUUAGCUAGUUGGCGGGGUAAAGGCCCACCAAGGCGACGAUCCGUAGCUGGUCUGAGAGGAUGGUCAGCCACACUGGAACGGAGACACGGUCCAGACUCCUACGGGAGGCAGCUGUGGGGAAUAUUGGACAAUGGGCGCAAGCCUGAUCCAGCCAUACCGCGUGGGUGAAGAAGGCCUUCGGGUUGUAAAGCCCUUUUGUUGGGAAAGAAAAGCAGCAGGUUAAUACCCCGCUGUUCUGACGGUACCCAAAGAAUAAGCACCGGCUAACUUCGUG